AUGUUUGAGCUACUCUGUGACAUUUAAUCAUUAAUAGAAGAUUUGGGGUAUACACUACAGAUGGGCCCUGUUUGCUGAAAUGUUGGGGCCAAACAACUUGAUAGAGCCUAUGAUGUUCCUUUCAAGCUUUCUAAAGUUUCCACCAACCUCAGAUGAAAAUGUAACUGUGAGAAGUAAAUUUAACAACAUUGUUGUCUGCAUAUGUGUGCCAAAAUGGAAGACAGAAUCAUGAAAAAGAAGCUUAUUUUAUAACCAUGGUGGUGGCUCAUGUUUGAGUAGUAAUGCUCCUUGGUCUGGCCACUGAAGAAUGACAGAGCCCAGGGCCCCCGGUCCCAUCUGCCAUCACUGCUUUGGAGCCCAGGGUAACUCUGCCAGUAACAGGUAAGCUGA
rnacentral:lncRNA from 10 species